rnacentral:rRNA from 1 species
GACGAACGCUGGCGGCGUGCUUAACACAUGCAAGUCGAACGGAAAGGCCCUGCUUCUGUGUGGUUCUCGAGUGGCGAACGGGUGAGUAACACGUGAGUAACCUGCUCUUUACUUUGGGAUAAUUUCAGGAAACUGGGGCUAAUACCGGAUAGGAGCUCCGGCUGCAUGGUGGGGGUUGGAAUGUUUCGGCGGUUUGGGAUGGACUCGCGGCUUAUCUGCUUGUUGGUGGGGUAGUGGCUCACCAAGGCUCUGACGGGUAGCCGGCCUGAGAGGGUGACCGGCCACAUUGGGACUGAGAUACGGCCCAGACUCCUACGGGAGGCAGCAGUGGGGAAUAUUGCACAAUGGGCGGAAGCCUGAUGCAGCAACGCCGCGUGCGGGAUGACGGCCUUCGGGGGGUAAACCGCUUUCGCCUGUGACGAAGCGUGAGUGACGGUAAUGGGUAAAGAAGCACCGGCUAACUACGUG